CCUUGUACACACCGCCCGUCAAGUCAUGGGAGCCGGUAGCGCCCGAAGCCGCCACACCACUGUGGUGUCCACGGCAAGAUCGGUGACUGGGACU
rnacentral:rRNA from 1 species